AAUACAUUAGCUAACAAAAUCGUUUUAACCAUCAUUAAAACCGUUUGCGUUAAAGCAAUAAAGACAUUUUUUUUCUUUACUUAUUAUUAUACAUGUAUAUGUUUUUUUUUGGUACAGAGGCAAACUUGUUCGACAUAUCAUCAGAAAUAUGAGAGAUACAAACUGUCUGCAGCGGCGGCGGCUGUGAUGGCAACGUGAAGAAGAUGAAGCUUGUGAAUGUGGAGAACGACAGACCGAUGAACACUCUUUUGUCAUGCAACAUGAGUCCAGCACAAUGCACCAAAGAAGAUCUGAUACUGACAAACACAAAUGCUCUAGAGGAGGCUACCUACUGGUUGCAGUACAACGUUUAGAACGUUACCAUAUAUUAUGUGAUUUUUAUUAAAUGUACCUACCAAAUUUAUUAAUUUUAUUAUUUAAGUAUUUACCUGUUUCUUUUUAUGUACAUUUAUUUAGUUUUUUUUAUAUUAUUAGAACUAUAUUGUUAUUGGCAUUUUAAAGUCAGACUCGACAAAAAGAUCUGUUUAAUAUUUUUUCAUUGAUUUCCAAAAGGGAUGUCGAAGAAAACAAACGCACCCUUAAGAAUAUACAUUAUCUCCUUGCUCACCUCUCUAAAGUAUUAUAAAAAUCACUUGUAUUAUUUUUAAUUUUUUUUUUGUACAAUUUUGUAUUGAUGUCGAAGUGCGACAUGCAACGUCGCGUUAACUCAUAACGUUACAAUUUUCUCAAGUACUUGUAUUUUAUUAAUAUUAUGUGCAUUACCUACCAUG